rnacentral:rRNA from 1 species
AUUGAACGCUGGCGGCAGGCUUAACACAUGCAAGUCGGACGAGUGGCGGACGGGUGAGUAAUGUAUGGGAAUCUGCCUGAUGGCGGGGGAUAACUACGGGAAACGGUAGCUAAUACCGCGUACCAUAGGAUGAGCCCAAUUGGGAUUAGCUGGUUGGUGAGGUAAAGGCUCACCAAGGCGACGAUCCCUAGCUGGUCUGAGAGGAUGACCAGCCACACUGGGACUGAGACACGGCCCAGACUCCUACGGGAGGCAGCAGUGGGGAAUAUUGCGCAAUGGGCGCAACCCUGAUGCAGCCAUGCCGCGUGUAUGAAGAAGGCCUUCGGGUUGUAAAGUACUUUCGGUCGGGAGGCGUUACCGACAGAAGAAGCACCGGCUAACUCCGUGCCAGCAGCCGCGGUAAUAC